AACGAACGCUGGCGGCAGGCCUAACACAUGCAAGUCGAACGCUCCAGCAAUGGAGAGUGGCAGACGGGUGAGUAACGCGUGGGAACCUACCCUUUGGUUCGGAAUAGCCCAGGGAAACUUGGGGUAAUACCGGAUAAGCCCUUCGGGGGAAAGAUUUAUCGCCAUGGAGGGGCCCGCGUCGGAUUAGCUAGUUGGUGGGGUAAUGGCCUACCAAGGCGACGAUCCGUAGCUGGUCUGAGAGGAUGAUCAGCCACACUGGGACUGAGACACGGCCCAGACUCCUACGGGAGGCAGCAGUGGGGAAUAUUGGACAAUGGGCGCAAGCCUGAUCCAGCCAUGCCGCGUGGGUGACGAAGGCCUUCGGAUUGUAAAGCUCUUUUGGCGGGGACGAUAAUGACGGUACCCGCAGAAUAAGCACCGGCUAACUCCGUGCCAGCAGCCGCCGUAA
rnacentral:rRNA from 1 species